rnacentral:rRNA from 1 species
AUACGUAGGGUGCGAGCGUUGUCCGGAAUUACUGGGCGUAAAGAGCUCGUAGGUGGUUUGUCGCGUCGUAUGUGAAAUUCCGGGGCUUAACUCCGGGCGUGCAGGCGAUACGGGCAUAACUUGAGUACUGUAGGGGAGACUGGAAUUCCUGGUGUAGCGGUGAAAUGCGCAGAUAUCAGGAGGAACACCGGUGGCGAAGGCGGGUCUCUGGGCAGUAACUGACGCUGAGGAGCGAAAGCAUGGGUAGCGAACAGGAUUAGAUACCCUGGUAGUCCAUGCCGUAAACGGUGGGCGCUAGGUGUAGGGGUCUUCCACGACUUCUGUGCCGUAGCUAACGCAUUAAGCGCCCCGCCUGGGGAGUACGGCCGCAAGGCUAAAACUCAAAUGAAUUGACGGG